rnacentral:rRNA from 1 species
GACGAACGCUGGCGGCGUGCUUAACACAUGCAAGUCGAACGAGAAUCUGCGGAAAGAGGAUUCGUCCAAUUGAAGCAGAGGACAGUGGCGGACGGGUGAGUAACGCGUGAGGAACCUGCCUUUCAGAGGGGGACAACAGUUGGAAACGACUGCUAAUACCGCAUAACGCAUAAGAGUCGCAUGGCUCGUAUGCCAAAGAUUUAUCGCUGAAAGAUGGCCUCGCGUCUGAUUAGCUGGUUGGCGGGGUAACGGCCCACCAAGGCGACGAUCAGUAGCCGGACUGAGAGGUUGAACGGCCACAUUGGGACUGAGAUACGGCCCAGACUCCUACGGGAGGCAGCAGUGGGGAAUAUUGGGCAAUGGGGGCAACCCUGACCGAGCAACGCCGCGUGAGUGAAGAAGGUUUUCGGAUCGUAAAGCUCUGUUGUAAGAGAAGAACGUGUGUGAGAGUGGAAAGUUCACACAGUGACGGUAACUUACCAGAAAGGGACGGCUAACUACGUGCCAGCAGCCGCGGUAAUACGGAGGAUGCAAGCGUUAUCCGGAUUUAUUGGGUUUAAAGGGUGCGUAGGCUGUUCGACAAGUCAGCGGUGAAAGCCCGGCGCUUAACGCCGGAACUGCCAUUGAUACUGUCGAGCUGGAAUACGGAUGCCGUGGGAGGAAUGAGUAGUGUAGCGGUGAAAUGCAUAGAUAUUACUCAGAACACCGAUUGCGAAGGCAUCUCACGAAUCCGUCAUUGACGCUGAGGCACGAAAGCGUGGGGAUCAAACAGGAUUAGAUACCCUGGUAGUCCACGCAGUAAACGAUGAUAACUAACCGUCGGCGAUACACAGUCGGUGGCCAAGCGAAAGCGAUAAGUUAUCCACCUGGGGAGUACGUUCGCAAGAAUGAAACUCAAAGGAAUUGACGGGGGCCCGCACAAGCGGAGGAACAUGUGGUUUAAUUCGAUGAUACGCGAGGAACCUUACCCGGGCUCGAACGGCAGUUGAACGAUGCAGAGAUGCAAAGGUCCUACGGGACGACUGUCGAGGUGCUGCAUGGUUGUCGUCAGCUCGUGUCGUGAGAUGUUGGCUUAAGUGCCAUAACGAGCGCAACCCUUGUCGAUAGUUACCAACAGGCAAAGCUGGGGACUCUAUCGAGACUGCCACCGCAAGGUGAGAGGAAGGCGGGGAUGACGUCAAAUCAGCACGGCCCUUACGUCCGGGGCGACACACGUGUUACAAUGGUAGCUACAGAGGGAAGCCACCUGGUGACAGGGAGCAGAUCUCGAAAAGCUAUCUCAGUUCGGAUUGGAGUCUGCAACUCGACUCCAUGAAGCUGGAUUCGCUAGUAAUCGCGCAUCAGCCAUGGCGCGGUGAAUACGUUCCCGGGCCUUGUACACACCGCCCGUCAAGCCAUGAAAGCCGGGGGUGCCUGAAGUUCGUGACCGGAAGGAGCGACCUAGGGCAAAACUGGUAAUUGGGGCU